rnacentral:rRNA from 1 species
AACGAACGCUGGCGGCAGGCUUAACACAUGCAAGUCGAACGCACCGCAAGGUGAGUGGCAGACGGGUGAGUAACGCGUGGGAACCUUCCCUUUGGUACGGAAUAACUUCGGGAAACCGAAGCUAAUACCGUAUAUCUCCUGCGGGAGAAAGAUUUAUCGCCAAAGGAUGGGCCCGCGUUGGAUUAGCUAGUUGGUGUGGUAAUGGCGCACGAAGGCGACGAUCCAUAGCUGGUCUGAGAGGAUGAUCAGCCACACUGGGACUGAGACACGGCCCAGACUCCUACGGGAGGCAGCAGUGGGGAAUAUUGGACAAUGGGGGCAACCCUGAUCCAGCCAUGCCGCGUGAGUGAAGAAGGCCUUAGGGUUGUAAAGCGCUUUUGGCGGGGACGAUAAUGACGGUACCCGCAGAAUAAGCCCCGGCUAACUUCGUGCCAGCCGCCGCAGUAA